GUCUAUAGCCAUGCUACCCUGAACAAACCCGAUCCCAUCUGAUCUCGGAAGCUAAGCUUGGAUGGGAGACUACCUAGAAAGACCAGGUGCUGUAGACG
rnacentral:rRNA from 1 species